AAAAGGGCAAAAUCCAACAACUCGUUGAACUAAAAUUCUGCGGUGCUGUACUUCCAAUUAAACUGAAAAUGGCUCAUACUGUCUUACAAACUCUCCCUUGACCUGAAAUCUGUGCUAAACUUGAUUGAUUAGAAAGGUUUCUACUAAAGCAUAACACGAAACAUUUUUGUACGUUUCACACACACCAACAACAGCUAGCAAGGAGCCGCGACGUCAAGCAGGUUCAAUGUGCAGUAGCAGCUAACAGGAUGGGGAAGGAGGUGCAAGCUUCAGAAAUGUUUUCGUGGAACAUCAUAAGUGGACGCCCCACUACAAGAAACAAGGAGUAGUGAACCAAGGAAAUACAUUGCAAAUAGAACACAUCAAGAAUUUCUCGGAAGAAUAAAAAAUAGAGGACCACACGUACUCGAAACUGAUGGAAGCAGUAUUCUUGUUCAUGGUGGCAUUUUAGCAAACACAGGGUAUGCGCCCCAUAUAGAUAUCUGCACAGAGUCAAUACUUAGCUCUUCACGGCCAUUGUCGAGCACUACACUGCUCCUCAAGAAGGGCACUACUUCUCAUUCUAUAAUUACUGAACGUCACCAAUACAAAUGUCUGAACUUCGACUACCAUCAACUAAUUUUGCCCAAUUAAAAAUGCUUCUUUUACGAAAAUUGUUGUAGCAUACUCAUGCACAUAACACGCAUGCACACAACCAUGGCAGAGAAAGCUGAAGGGGAAAAGAAUAAUAGUAGGAGUUCAUUGAAAAAAUCUUGUUCCUUUUCAUCACGCAUUUUUUCAGUAACGAAACAGCCUGCAUGGUCCUUUGCCACCAGACAAUAGCAUUACCUAAACUUUAACCCUCACCCAAUUCAAACUGCAGCCCCCUCGGCACCACGCCCAGCAUGCCGGACAGACGCACGCCACACCCUGCCGUCGUCGGUGUUGCAUGCCUGUUGGGGCGAUACUGCUGCAUGUCGCGCUCCAUCUGCAGCUUCAACGGCUGAAAUGGAAGCUGCGGGGGAAGGAAACAAAGCACUAUAAGCUAGCUAUAACAAAGUUGAAGAAGUAGCAGCAGAGGCUGUAGGUGCAGGGGGAGGGGUGUACUGCCAGAGAAAUUUGAGAUGGCGGUCUAAGAAACUGACACCAUGCUAUAUCAAAACAUGUUGUUUGUUAUUUUUGAAAGCAUCCGUGUUUGUAAAGUUUGGCACUGAUCCAGGGAGAUGCAUCAUCAUAAAAAAAUAGAGAACUGAAUACUUGGGAAAACAAAUUGAAGUAUUUGCAGGGAGAAAUCAACUUGAACCGGUAAUACAGCCAGACCGUUCAUCCCUUUUCAUAUAAUUUCACACGGAUGCAGAGUAUACUGAUCAAAAUGUGUUUUUUUAGUACGCACAUGAGACUAUAAGCUUCAGAUGAUGGAAUGUUGGUCACGGAAAUUUUCUAAUAAUCUAUGAAGAAGCUAAGAAAUGAAAAACAGGGAAAAAAACACUGAAUGUACUAAACAAAUACUGCACAUCCUGAACCUUACUCCACAUUCAUUCUAAACUUCACCACUACCCUGCAAAAUAUGAUGAGUUGGUUCUCAUCGUGGCACCGCUAGAAGCCAAGGCGCACAAAUAUGGAAUGGGAGCAGGACACGCCGGCAAUUCUACUACUCCAUGCGACAGAGUUCAAUCAUCUAAGAUGGGGAGUUGGAAGCAACGGGAGGAGGAAGGUCAGUGCGCGUUUGGAGAGAAGGUCACCUGUCGACAUGAACUUGGCAGGUGGAUGACGGGGAGAGGUGCUGUGCUGCCGUGGACGGAACCAAGCGGACGCAGGGAUUCCGCCUCGGGGCGGCGUCUCUGUCGCUGCUCCUAGUCUCCACCAAGAAAACACCGAGGCCGAGUGCUUGCAGGGGUGGCCGUCUGGCCUGGUUGGCUCGCACGGGGAAGACGGCGGGGCUGGAUUGAGCGGGGCCACGGGAGGAGGCAAACGGGGCGGCGCCGGGAAGCCGGGAGGUGGAGGCUCGCGGCGGCCCAGCCAGGAGGUGGAGUCACAACGAUGCGUCUGUCGGGGAGGGAGGUGAGGGCGGAGGUGCGUCUGCCGGGGAGGGAGAUGGGGGCGGCAGCGCUUCUGCCGCGGGAGGGAGGUGGGGACGGUGGCGAGCUGCGGAAGGCGGUCCGGCGGCGUGCUGGGAAGGUGCACGGGCGGCGUCACGUCGGGGACGGCAAGUGGGCGGCGUGCUGGGCAGGGCGGGCCGGCGGCAAGGUCGGGGAAGUUGGGGAUAAGGUGCAGCGCGGCACUUUUCCCCACUCAUUGGGCCNN
rnacentral:lncRNA from 1 species